AUUAACGAAGCAUAUUUAGUGUUCUGUGGUAUAGAGUAUUGAAUUACUCUAUUCUAUGUUCUAAGGUUUCCCGUGAUUCGAAAUCUUAACCUCUCAGCUCAACAAAUCGAUUUUUCAAAUUUUUUUUAAAAAAAAUUUUUGCUGGAACAAUUUAUUUUCUCAGAAGCCUAUCGCCGAAAUAUAACACAGAUGAAUUCUAUUGAGGUAAAGAUCAGGCGUACUGAUGGAUAUUCGAAGGUAAUCACCCAAUCUGUGGAAAAUAACAAUAAUUGGCAAAGUUUUUUCACUUCUCUAUCGUUCAUUCAAAAAUCUAUCAAUGUUGAGCUGACAUCUCUACUGACUGCAAAUAGUGUUGAUCAAAUUGAUACUGAAGAAGAUGAAAUAUCAAGUGAUGAAGACGCUGAUGAAAGUAAUAAACGAAAAUAUCCAAUAAAUGUGAAUAAACCGUUAAAAAAA